AAAUAUAAUAAGUUAUUCAAAUUGGCUGAUUUUUUUAUAUUAAGUUGAUGUGAAAUUUUAUAUGGUAUGUAUCGGAUUGUUAUUAUCUCAUUCUAGGAAUCUGACAAAUAAAACCAUAAUUAACAUAAGGCAAAGAGCGAUGUCGGCCGACCAGCCAUGAUGAUUGAUGACAUCUUCAUCCGACGACUUCACCCCGAUGAAGAGCUCGCCGCCGUGACGACCCCCACGACUUCAUCCCGACGGAGAGUUUGCCGCCGUGACGACAUCGACGACUGAUGAACCGAGCCUCUUUUCCAGGCGUUUCUCCGACGACUUCGUUCCGACGAGCACUUGUCGCCGUGCCGACCCCGUCACCACGAACCGAAGAGCUCACUGACGAACCGGCAUCUUUCCCAGGCGCUUCCCCGACGACUUCGUUCCGACGAGCACUCGCCGCCGUGCCGACCCCGUCACCGACGAACCGAGCAUCUUUCCCAGGCGCUUCCCGACGACUUCACCCCAACGACGUUAACCAAAGUUAUCAUCCCAAAGAGAUAUUAUUCCAUUUCUCGCCAUCCAACUGUCCCGUCACUCUGUUUUGGUAUUAAUCAUAAUCUCAACUUCACCACUUGGAAGGUAAACGCAAAAAACCACAUGAUGAACUACUCGUGGCUUGAUCUCUCUUAAGAGAGUACGUAGGCAGCUUUCCCACAAGCCGGGAGAGCUCGCUAUUGAAAGCGGCGAACAUUAUAUCCAGAGGAAACAACGACAUCAAUUUGGAGAUGAUUGCGGCCGCGUAGAAUCUAGAGUUUUCUUCGGUGAUGGUUUAUUAGGCUUUGAUUUUGGUCAAAUUUUAUUAUUCUAACCCCUUAAUCAAUGUCUGGUUUGGGACGAAUAUUAAUAUGUAAAUAUUUUUUUAAAAUUUGCUAUAGUACUUAAAUACAGUUUUACA